rnacentral:RNase_P_RNA from 2 species
CCAGCUCGAAGGCCACGAAUGCUCAUCCCGUUACAGGUUGCUCCAUGCAUACCACAUUCAUGAGCGGGCUAAGGUCUGAGUAUUUUAAUCCCCCUCGGUCGGCUCUAGCAGGGCCUAGCUGUAAGCAGCUGUGCGACGUACCAGAAAAGCAGCGUCAUUUUCACAUCCCCUAAGAUCCUGUUACCGCAGAGGAGGGGGAAAGUGAAAGCUUUGAAAGCGUCGUGGGGAUUGGGCACAUCUACACCCAUUGUCUAGCAUUCAGUCGUCGCUAUCGCGCUUGCGCCUUGUGAAGAAGGCACCCAGGGACUUACUUGGGCAUCCCGCAGUUUGGCCAAGCUAUGUUAUGGAAACCAAUGUUGGUGCUUUGAAUUGCAAUCGUCCGAGUCGAGGUAUGGCACCCGAGGUGACGGCCACACCAUAUUGGUGCUUACUUAUCUCUAAUGACGUGGUUCGCUUGGCACCGAUGAUUCCAGCUCAUGGCUAUAGACGGCUGGAGACAAUCUCUCCUUGCGUAUGAGGCGGUGGCUGAUUGCAUGCGAUGUGGUAUACCUGUCUUCCCUGAGUUCACUUCGUGGCUCGCGUAUCCUUCGUGGAUCGUGAAACUCGAUUCAGACUACUCUCGGGCUGG